rnacentral:rRNA from 1 species
AUUGAACGCUGGCGGCAGGCCUAACACAUGCAAGUCGAGCGAGCGGCGGACGGGUGAGUAAUGUAUGGGAAUCUGCCCGAUAGAGGGGGAUAACUACUGGAAACGGUAGCUAAUACCGCAUACUAUCGGAUGAACCCAGAUGGGAUUAGCUAGUAGGUGGGGUAAAGGCUCACCAAGGCGACGAUCCCUAGCUGGUCUGAGAGGAUGACCAGCCACACUGGGACUGAGACACGGCCCAGACUCCUACGGGAGGCAGCAGUGGGGAAUAUUGCACAAUGGGCGCAAGCCUGAUGCAGCCAUGCCGCGUGUAUGAAGAAGGCCUUCGGGUUGUAAAGUACUUUCAGCGGGGAGGCGUUACCCGCAGAAGAAGCACCGGCUAACUCCGUGCCAGCAGCCGCGGUAAUUC